rnacentral:misc_RNA from 1 species
GAUGAAGAACGUAGUGAAAUGCGAUAAGUAAUGUGAAUUGCAGAAUUCAGUGAAUCAUCGAAUCUUUGAACGCACAUUGCGCCCAUUAGUAUUCUAGUGGGCAUGCCUGUUCGAGCGUCAUUUCAACCCUUAAGCCUAGCUUAGUAUUGGGAAUCGACUUUACUGUCGCUCCUCAAAUUCAACGGCGGAUUUAUAGCAAUCUCUGAACGUAGUAAUUUUUUUUCUCGUUUUUGAAAUACUAUAAACCUCGGCCGCUAAACCCCCAAUUUCUUAUGGUUGACCUCGGAUCAGGUAGGAAUACCCGCUGAACUUAAGCAUAUCAAUAAGCGGAGGA